ensembl:lncRNA
GCACAGAACGCCGAGGUUCCGGCUGCAGGUUCCCUGGUGGGGCAGUAACGUGCCAUAAGCACCACUUACGGCACUUUACUGGUGAUGGCCUUUGGAGACUGGCUUUUAGCAGUGUAUUCAGGAAGAGAAGUGGGGAAUGACCAUGGAAAUUACGCAGCUUGCGAGCUCCAGCUUCCUUUCAAAUGACUUCGCUACACAAAUUUCACUUUGCAGUAUAUCAAUAUAUAUACAGCAUCUUUCCUUGACGCUUAAAUGGACGCUGUAUUUUUCUUCUGGGAUCUCCAUGCAUAGAAAAACAAACAAAAUCUGCACACUCAGAAUGCUCAGACCUGACUGCCUCCUGCAAAAAUGAGCUAUAGGGUAACCCAAGAGAUAAUCAUCGGAGGAUAACUGCGCAUUAUCCCCAUGCAAAACCCCUAUCUGCAUUCGAAAGGGGGAGCUGCAGAAGCUGCUAACGGUCCAGAAACAUCCUGAGGACACAAAAUUUGCCUUCACAAAACUCCUAAAGAAAGAUAACGGAUGGAAACCUCAAAGAACACAAAACCCGGGUUUUCAGGGUUUUUUAGCUGCACGUGAACGAACCGAAGUACCAGAUAAAGCGCAAUUAUCCUUUAAAGCUUACCUUUUGUUGUCGUAGUUGUUUGUAAGCCACGCAGCUGUUCUCCAGAACACCACCUGCAAGAACCUGCACGCGGAGCGUUCCGUCUUUGCAGCGUCAGUAAGAAUCAAGGGCAAGAGUUUGCUGGGAGUUUCUAACUUUCAAAAUGUUCAAAGAGAGAUUCACCUGAUUGAAAAGCUGCUUUCCCAUUAUUUAGUGCAGAAAACUGAAAAAGAUAUUGUAAUUAAGCUCAGGAGAUCAAUUAGCAUGUUAAACAACCACACGCGAGAUUCAAAACGUUACUCGCGGGUCAGCCAAUAGAAGAGAGUGCUCACAGGUGGAACUUUCUAGACUUGAUGAUGGUGCAGGGACAGCUGAACCUGUGGGCCUGAGCACCCAGCUGCGAGUAAUUGCGCUACAAAUCAGGGCCUGAAUAUAAGUUCCCCCCUGGGGGGUUUGACUUUUGUUUGUUAGGAGAACUGAUCGGUGUGAAGUUGCUGCCCCGGGAUGCCGUCAAGCUACGUUUUGAGCUGGAACAAGAUUGGAAAAAAGAUGGUGGUUUGACCACGAGGAUUGCUCGAGAAUGAAGGGGGACUACUCCGAUGAGCACAUGGAGGGAUGCAAAGACGGAAGAUGCCUCAUCUGCUGGGAAAUUCAACUACAACUGAAAUAGCUCAUCAUAAGCAAUAGUGAGCAGAGUGAUUACGGUCAAAAACGCAACACAGUGAGUGAGUAAUGCAUGCAGCUCCAGCUCUUCCCUACCUCUUAUGGACGAUGGGAGGUUGAAACAGCUCAUCUUUGAGAACUUUUGUUCCUGGUUUUGGGACACUUGAAAGAGAGCAUCUCCCAGUGGCAAAGAUAAGAGCCCACGUCCUUCCUGUAUCCUGUGGCUAUGCAUUCUCAGCCACAAGAGUCAGCAAGUCCCCUUCCAGAGGGAAGCGAUUUGGACAAUAACAUCUCAGACUGAUGCUGCUAAUCUGCCCUUACCCAAGGGAAGUGGGUGAGGUCAGAAGACGGGGAAAGACUUGUCUGCUGUCAGGAUGAUGGUGAAACUGACGCAUCAAAUAGAGCUGAAUGCUGCUGUAAAGUGCCUAGGGUCCCAACCUGUGGAAAUCGAAGUCUCUGAGGAUUCCUAUGUGAUCAAAGGCUGGAUUUCACUUCUCAAAGAGUCAGCUUUUGAGCAUUCCUUUGUGGAGCUGCAAGAACAUAAAGUCAUCACAGAGAGCCUCGUUAAAAGUGUUUAAUGAGAGCAGUGUGAUCCCACAGCCCAAGGGUCAGCAUGAGAGCAAGGACAGCCCAGAAGCCUCGUCCCACCAGAGCCGGGUAUCAUCAGGAGACCCCAUUCACCGAGGGACACAUUGACUGCUGUCACCAACACCCAGACAGGCACAGGAGACAAAGCAACCCAAGAGAACUGCAGCUGGGUAACAACGCCAGUGCGAAUUUCUCAGCCCAGAACAAGCCAAGACUCACUUCUGGCCAAAAUUCCUGCACUAAUGCUAACCACCAUCUGAUUACAUGAUUUUCCUGAGAUCCUGAUGCAAGUCGUUGUCACAGAAAGGGCUCAUGUGGGCACACUGCAGCCCAGGUUCCCUGCUGCCUACCUCUGCCUCUGGUUGGUCCGGUGCCCCGAGCAGCCCCAUCACCUGUGCUCUGCUCCCUGCUGGAAAAACAUGCUCGUUUUCAAAGGUAAGGGAGUCUUGGGUUACUAGGAACACAAAUCAUUAUGAGUAAAACUGCAUUCCCAAUUUAUUGUAUUUGUUUUAUUUAUAAUUUUAUUACUUAUUCCACAUUUUCCAUAUUUUCCAUGUGUUUCGCGUCAUUCUGGUCCAUUUUGGCCUUGACAUGGAAACUUGGGCUCUUCUCCCUGCCUGAUGUGUUGAAGGCUUUAUAAACAGCCUUGCUUCAUUGUUUGCUCUGCCUGUUUCCAUCCCGCAGGUGUGUGGCUGGAGCUGUGCUUGGGACAAAUCCGAAUGCUCUCUGCCUGGGGAGCAGGAUGGGGCUGAGGGGAAGAAAAGCAGCAGUUAAUGCAGUAAGUGGUGAAAAUUAAGCAAAUUGUUCAAGUGGUGCUUUAACAAAGAACAGUUUGAGACUCCUCUGAUUUGUGGGUUCUCUUUUUCGUGUGAAAGAAAGAAGAGAGAAGGAGAUUUUUCCAUGCAGUCAACAUGUUGCAUGUGCACGGCCAGAGUUCUCGUGAACCAAAAACCAAUUCACUGACUGAGGAAACUCCUCCCCGUGUUGGUUCAUUCCCUGUGCUGCACAUCUGCUUCUGGAAGGUAAUGUCAUGCAUCUGUGUCCAUAGUUAAUUCACUAUUUUCCCCUCUCCUCGAUGCAUAAGCAAGUAUUUGCUUUCCUGCUCACAUCUGACCACAGUCUGUGAGCAAAUCAGGCAUGUUCAGCAAUGCUGCUCUUAGCUGCUCUUCCAAGGUUUUGUGUCAACAGGAACAUUAGGUCAAUUUGCAGACAGCCCCAGAAAAUCUGGUGCAGCAUCUCUCACACUAUUGACAGGGACUGCUUGAAUUCAGCAUUGCCAGGCUAACAGUUGUCAUUCAGCUCUUGAGCAGAUUUGCACCACCACCUCAUCUAUUUUUCAUCAGUCUUGCACCCUCUGUGACAUCCGUGUCAAUCCAUGAGUUCAGUCUGAUUCAGUUCAAUCCCACACAUACCGAGUGUGUGUGCCAUGCUCAGACCUGAGUAAUCACUUGGAUGACAAAAGGAUGCUCAGUUCCUGCAACUGAAAAGAAAAGCCCAAGAAGCAACUCACUGAGUUUGUUCUAGACAAACUCCAUGGCAAUUGGAUGAUCCUUAAGGUCCCUUCCCCAACCCAAGCCAUGCUGUGAGUCCACAGUCAGAAACACAAGCAAAAAAUGUCACUUUUGCUGGCAGGGGAUGGGCAGGAAAAUUGGAUUAGAACAUCUGGUGGGGUUGUUAGCAAAUUUAGUUUGCUACGAAGCUGGCACUCCAUGCUGCCCCUCCUCAACUGUUGUGCUACAUCACCUCCACUUCCCUGUGCUCCUGCCUCGCCCUGUGCUAACCCUGAUGCUGACCUGCCCUGGCUCCCCAUUAGAGCUGCAAUUAGGGGGUGACUCUUAAUAGCGAGGUCUUGCCUCAGAGUGGGGAGAAAUGUUUCUGUAACUCACAUGUGACAAUUAAAGAUAAUUUAAAAUGUAAGUAAUUGCCCUGGGUUUCUGGAAACUACUGUAGAGGUCUUGUCCCAGGCAUCUGACAGGCACGGUGGUGUAUUUUGACAAGUUUUGUGCAGAUUUCCAUUAAAUACCAACUAGCAGCUCUAUUUUCUUUGGAGUCACUGGUCAGGAAAUGGUGAUUGUGAAAGGUCAGGUCUGGAAGGUUUGGGAGGGGAUGGAGGUGUUAUUCACGUUCCGAUCCAUGGGGAUCUGGUUCCAACAUAAAUCUUGCAGUUGCUUCAUCCUUGCUUUCUGCACAGUCUUUCAGCAGGAGAAAGGCACAGGCUGAUCUACAGGGAUCCUCUGUUCAGUUUCAUGGCCCCUGCUGAGAUGCCAGGUGAGGCGGGACCUACAAAAUGCCCCUUGGCAAGCUGGGGAGUCUGAUUUUAGACACCUGGCAAGCAGCAGAAUGUUUGGUUGUAUCCCCAUCCCAUCACAGCAUUGCACUAAGCCUUCUAGUUUGCAAAAGUGGAUGAGAAAUUCCAGUUGGUUGAAGGCUUCUGCAAGGUCAGAGUGUGAACAUCCUGCAGAAUGCACUCAGAUACUUUCAGAGGCUCAGCAGUCCUUGAAAGAGCUUUGCAUCGUGCAAACAAACUGUCAGCUGAGCUUGGAUUCUGCCACAUGUCCUAACACUAAGGAGCCAUCUGUGUACAGCACACUACAUAUGACCUUUCUUCUCCCUCUCCUUUCUUUCAAGUUGUCUCUUUUUUGACCUACAUUUAAGAUACCAAAUGAAUCCCAGCUGAGCACAGAGUUAAAUAUGCAACCCCAUACCAGCAUGUAAAUGAAGAGUCAGUCCAUGUACAGCAUGAGAACAAGUAUAUGGAAACAGAAUAAUCUGAAAAUGGAAAGGGACCCAUUCUGAACAUAGUCACCAUCUUUCACGUUUCAUUGGUCUGGGUUCUUCUCUCAGUUAUGGAGGCUUUUCUCCCAAGUCAUUUCAGGUGGGCCUGGAGGAGGACUUGUCACAAAAAAGCAGAGAGAAACCUGUACCACGUUUCAAAACUGCACUUUUAUUUCUGCUUCCAUAACUGAUUUUCUCAUGUAUGUUCAAAAGCCAGAGAUCACAUCUCUGUACUAUAGAAGUUUUCAGUUUGUGCCAGGGGAUAGUAAAAUUAAAUGUGUCCAGAAGCAGUUGCAUGAUCAUGAGCUCUGCAAGUUCUUACCUUUGUAUGGCUUAUAGAAGACAAAAAUACAUAGGAGAAAUUAAAGCUACAGAAGUCUCACCUUCAUUACUGCUUCCAAGCAGCUGUCUUUCUGGCUUUAGUAAUUCAGACACAUGGGCUACACCACCAAAAAAAAAAACCCACAACCAUCAUGGAACUUCAUAAAGAUCAGAAAUGAAAUCAAAUAUGUACAUAAAAAAAAUAGUUCUUAUUUUUAUCACAACUAAAGUGUUACUUAUGUCACAUACAGGUCAUUACAGAUGAGACAAAAUGACCAGAGCUGGUUUGGGGGCUUUGGUUUUUGCUCGUCAAGAGGCCACUUGAAGCUUUAACUCAGCAUCACUCACUUAUAUUUUGCCUUUAAAGCCAUUGGAGUGCUCAGACCCAGCACAGGGCACAUUGCCAUCACCCAGGUGGGGACUGCAUGCCCCUAACCAAUGUCACCAUGCCCACAUGAUGCCUGGGGCCUCUCCAAAGCAAGGUUUACAUUACCAGCACAGCACUGCCUUCACCUCACUUCCUGGCUCAGCCCUUUUGUAGAGCAUUCCAUGUUGGGCCACACAAGGGACAGAAGGGGGGAAAAACACAGGCAAAACAGAUCUAGCUUUGAAACACCAGAGUCCACAUCACCAAACCCUCUGUCCUCAUCCAUGCAAAACCCUUGUAGGACGCAUGGAGGUAAGCUUUUGAAAGGGUUUUUGAACACAUCAUACAUAGGAAAAUAACAUGCUGUAGAAACUUGGCAAUGAGUUUGUCUCCAGUAGCCAAGUUGGGCAUGGAAAAAAAAAAUUAGACAAUAAAAGGUCAUUUCUAGCCAAGUUUUAAGUGAGUAUACAAUACAUACCUUUUUUUUCCCCCAGUUCCUUGCCUUAGUUAUUGGCCAACUUGGCCAGGAUCUUAUGGAAAACACUGAAAUGGAAUUAUUAUAAUUGUGUGGGUUUUUUUUCUCUUUUUGACCAAGCAAAAGUUCUUAUAAGCAAUAAUUUAAUUACAGCAAAAGCAUAACACAGACACAGUCUUAAGGAUGCAUCAUCAAAAGAAAAAAAAACCACCAAACUUUAAACUACAGCUACUUCAUGUGUGCCAGUGAGCUAAUACUGCUGCUAUUUAUUAUUUUUCUUAAUUAUUUAUUAUAAAGCCUGCCAUAAAGUGGAAAAUUACCAGUGCUGAUCACCUUUCCAACCAUUCCAGGUGGAAGAUGGCACAAGAACAGUUUUGCAAAGCUGACCUCAAUGAGAGAGUAAAGGAGUGAAGCAUGAGAGUGAAAGGGAAACAAACAAAUCAGAUUUGAAUAUGCUAAGCUAAAUAAAUAACCACAAGCCUGAGAUCAACAGGAAUAUUAUAAGCUGCAGAUUUGGAGCUGUGUUAAACAGGAACAAUCGUUUCCUUUUUGCCACUUACUGAAGGAAGAAGGCCAUUCCUUUCUGCAGAGUUGAUCUGCUACGUUCUCAUGCUCUCUAGGAAAUAUCCUUCCAAGUCAGAUGACUUCUUAGCGAGUGAGGAGAGGAAUAUGGUUUUUUGUUGCAAAAUUUAGAACUCAUUCCAUUGCUGCGUCACCAGCUCAGAUCUUUGUCUCAGCCAUUCCUUUGUCUCUUGCUCAGCCAUGACCCACUGCUCAUCCGCCGGGCUGACAGCACACCAAGUCCUGCCUAAAUGCAAGAACCUCAGAGCAUCAGUAGGACAUCCCACCCAGCCAAAGAACCCGGAGGAAACUUCUAAGCUUGUAUGAGUCACUCAUCAUCUCAAGCAGCAUUAGAAGGAAAUUGCCUUAGGGCACUGUCAUCACCAUUUGUGAGUAUUUGUUGACAGCAAAUGUCUGUGCUACUGUUACGAACCUCAGGCUGGGCUAGGUUUGAACCUAAGAUCACCACUUUUAGCACUUAUACAUUGGCCAGCUGGGCUGAAAAAUGGAGAAUUCAGCAUCACCAGAAGCUGGCAGUUGCCUUAAAGUUAAUGUGCAUCUGCGCAUAGCCUUCGCCAGCAACAAAUGCAGAGUGAUGGGCUUAGCUUAGUUGAGAACAAAGUAUUCUUACAUCCCAAUGAACCUGAAAAGAGGGAGGUGAAAAAAAAUACCAUUACUGAUCUGGAACUAGAUGUUAGCAGGGGACAAAACUGCAAAUAGAUAUGCACACACACACUUCUGCCAUUGUUACACAAUCUUUCACAGCUACCAACAAUCUGCACAUUAUCCCUGAGUCUAGUUCACGUUCCCAUGAUCUGAUGGCAUCACCAGGAGAGUGCUUAUGUGUUCCAGCCAGGGCAAGCAGCACAGACUGGAGGCUUCCCAGGCAAGAAUAAGGUUGAUGCGUGUGUCACCUAAAAGCCCCCCUUCCACAUAUCUCACUCUAAGACAUCUCCCUGAAUUUACUGCCUACAAACCAACUGGCAAGCAGACAUUACAGCUUUUCCUAAAAUUUAGGUGAGCAGCAGCAAGGAGGUGGCUGGGCCAUUGCCUCCCAGCUCUUCCUCCAGGCUGCUCAGCUCAGUCUGUGUAACCUCAUCAGCAUCCUAGCAAAAAGCUAUUUUUGCCUCCUAAACAAGCACAAGAAAAACCUUGGUUGAAGCAGAAUGGAAAAGAGCUUCAUGGCUUCCCUGGAGAAGGGGAAUGCAAGAUGGUGGUUGGUAGCCAUCUAUCCCAUCUGUUGGAGCCUAGACCCAGUUUUGUCUAAAGAUCCAUGGACAAAUUUGAUGUGCUCACAAAGGGUGGCUGAGAUCCUAGCAGAGCUGAAGUUGACUUCAGACCUGGCCAGCCCAAGCAGAGGACAUUGCUGUUGUUUAAAAAUGAUACUCAUUAAGAGCAGAAGUCAGGCAAUGAUCACCUUCUGUAGUUGAUAAUACUCAAGGAGGGAGAUGGUGGAAAAAUGAAACCUUGGAAAAUAAAACUUAUUUGGCACCGCUGAUUAAAACCAGUUUGUGUUUCAUUGUUAAAGGCUGUGUUUGCUCAAGGUUUAUUCAGCUCUGGUCUCUUCCAUCCACAUACGGUUUGUUUUAAUGACUGUGGAGUUAUAUGAAUCUAUUAAUUUUUUUUUCCUGAAAGUUUCAUAACAACAAUGCCUGUUUUUUUCAUACAGCACUUUACAGCCACGCAUCUGGAAAUACAUUGCAAAUAGGCAAUUAGUAUCAGCCCUAUUUUGAAGAUGGAGAUACUCAGAGUCCAAGCAAGACAGCUAUUAAAGAACGGUGCCAAAAUUAGGCCUUUUGCUUCAUCUUGACAAGCUAGAACUACAGCCUCUUGAAGACAACAGGGAUGCAUGAAAAGCAUUUCAUUUAGCUAGCAGUAACUCUGUCUCAGGUUGGACAGACAAGAGGACAGCAGCAAAGACAGACUGACUCAUGCUAAACAACAGAGGUAGGAAGAGGACUUCCAGUAAUGACAGACUUAGGCCACUGCAAGCACUUACUUCCCAAAACCAGUGCUGAGGGAUCCAUCUCCAGUGAAGGGCUGACCAUCACAGGUUCCUGUUUUCUGAUAAGAGCUUGCUGCAUUUUUCCUCUCCACGUUUUUCAGCCUUUCCAGAUCUUCCUGUUAAAGCACAGAGUUGAAAACCAAUAAGAUAAUAUUAUUUGAGGCAAAUCUCUAACCCUUUAAUCAGGCUAUGUGGGAGGCAAGAAAAUGUUAGAUGCAAGGGAAUAUUAAAUUAAUAAUACUAUGUUGAAGUUGAGAUUAGUCAGAUUCCAGAGACAUAUAAUAACUAACUGCUGCCACCUCUGAUAUGGAUGUGUGGAGGCAAUGAGCAGGCUCACAGCAAGGAAGCAGGUCCUGGGCAGGACAAUGCUGCCAGACAUACUGUGGCAGUGCACUCAGCCCUUCACAUAGCUGCUGGAUGUAAUAGAACAGCCCCUGCAAAAGCUCAGAGCAGCCUUAUCCCAAAGUGCUGCACGGUCUUCCCACCUCUCCAUCGCAUCCAGCCCAACCUGGGGUGCUGCAUCCAGGGGUGCCCAGUCCUGUCUGGUGUUCCUGGAUCCCUGCUCACAGGUGGGAUGCUCAGGAGUGUCAGUGAUGGGAGUGAAAAUGAGGUGAACAGGUAAGAAUACAGACACUAUAAAGAAGUGAAGAGUGAAGAAACAUUUGGAAGAAAAACACAAAGGAAUUAAAGAUAUCUAGAGUGAAAGAGAUGGUGAAUGGCCUGAAGGGAGUUAAUGAGAUCCAGAAAUGCAAGUUGGAGAAAUGUUGAUUUUAUUUAGCAUUAAUUGCAGGAAAGAGCCUAUAAAGUGUGGUAAAAAAAUUAUUAAGUACCACUAUGCAAUGCCAGCUUUAUGCCAGCCAUCCCUACGAAGCAGGUGUAUUAUUCCUAGUUCCCUAGGUAUAAAUAAAUAACUGCUUUUCCAUGGUUUUCUUUUUUUUUUUUUUUUUUUAAAUGAUGGCUUUUCAUUAAUUUUUACUGCCAUAUUGUUAUAGUUCUGAUUCCUCCAGAGCAGCUCUGGGGAUCAGUUGGUGCUGGAGUGUGUGUAUGCAGGUUGGUACCUGCGAGCCAUGGGGCACUGCAUGGGAGAUGCAGUGUCUGUGAUCAUAGCACCCCAGGGGUGCAGCCCUGGUCUUCUUGCCCAUGGACCAAAACAUGACCUCACCCAUGGUCUGAGCUCUGACAGCAACAUCUGGGUAAAUACAGAAAGGAACCUGAUGGAAAAUGGACAGUUUGAUGGUUGAUGGACAGUUGAAGAGUGAUGCAUUUUGCAUCGAGGGCUCAUACAGCAAAGCCCAGAAGGAACAGACGGACCACGUUACCCAAGAAACCUUUCCCAAGAUUGAGGUUGCUCUGGGAAAGAACAUUCUGAGGGACAUCACCACGAUGCAAGCACUGGUAUCAUGUCAACCCAUUGGUUGUGGUGUUGGCCUCUGGUGUCAGGGACGGGGAGUUGGACUUCCCCUGCCACCCCAGCCAUCCAGCACUCCUGACUGCACACUCCAAGACAAGAAAAGAAAAAGGAAAAUAAAACCUAUGUUCCAUUCCACUUUUAACUUUCUGCUCAUGCCCAUACAUUCCUCCUGGCGUUAUUACAAACGGGCUCCAAUGUUGCCUUUGUUAAGAAUGAGAGCAGAGCACAUUUCCCCGAGCAAUGUUUGUAUCAGCAUUUUCAGGCUCCUUUUAUCGAGUCUCGCACUUCUCAGAGGAGACUCAGCGGGGAGAUGAGCUCUGGAUGCGUUUUCCUAGCAACGUCUCGCUUCAGAGAGGCCACCAAAGACGUUCAGGGAAGCAGUGAUUCCCUGGUAGUGCCUCAGUCCAAGCUCUGACCUGGAACCGUGGGCUCAGCAAAUACACAUAAAUCUUCAGCUCACGUCCAAAUCAUCGCAAGGUUCAGUGAAAAUAGCAAAACUGCCAGUGGAUCUAACCGAAGUUUUAAUCCAGCUCCAGCAUGAUUUAUGGCCUCAGGUGGAAACCAUGAAGCACGAUGGCCUCAGCCCAAGCCAGGGGACGUUCGGCUGCCCCAGCCCUAAGGUGUUGUGUUACGGCACUGAAGAAUCAAGGCUGCAAGAGGCAUGGAUGAAACUGAACAGCACAAACACGUCCCAGCAACGCCUUCAACCUCUGUGCAUCACAGGCAGAGUAAGUGCCACUGACAGAUCACACCAGCCUCCUCCACAAGGACGGAGGGAAUUAAAAAAUAUAUAUAAAAAUCAAAUAAUAAUAGCAGCAAGCGACCAAUAGAGGCAUUUUUUUUCUAAUUAAAAUAGCAAUUGACAAGCUCCACCAUUUGCAACAGUGCUUCCCUAAAUGCAGUAGUGCUAUGUUUGUCAGGACAUUUAUAAUGGCUUUAUAACACAUAUUUCCCUUUCAAAAUGCUAUUCAAUAGUAGAAAACUCACAUUCCAUCCACCAAAAAAAAUAAGUCUCAGUGACCCAAUUUCCUAGAGAAGAAUGAAUGUCCUCUCCCUUCUGACUCUCAUUAGCCACCUGCAUAUUGGAAAGCUAACAACAAGAGCAAUCAGCACACAGCACAAGGUCCCAGUGCCAUGACCAGAAGGGCUUUUGCCCCAUCCCUGUAUCAGCACAUCCCUAGGAACCUGCAACCAAUCCCUACCCCACAGCCAUCCCACGCAUCUGCAGCACUCCAUGGCUCAGCUGAGAAUACCACGCAGCCUGAGCUGACGUGGGCCGGUGAUUUAACAUCUGCAUCCCACCCUGGUGCCAAGCCUGUCUUUUUUCCAAUACUCAGCAUCCCUCCAUGCACAUGUAAAUAUCCAAAGGGAAACACUGCAGCAGAACUUUUGACCUGCACCGUAAUCCCAGACAGGACGUUAUAGCAACACCUGCAAUGCGCUCUGGCUUUUCCAGCUGAGAGCACUGUGAUCAUGGCACUGCCGUCCCCUCGGGGCACCACAGAUGACCAUGAGCUAAUGAGCACAGUGCAGACACUCUGCAGGAUUUUUGUUCUGAGGCGAUGAGAAAUGGUUCACCAGAAUUGGAGAACCCAAGCAGAGAUGCUCAGGAAGACGUAACCGGUGCCGAAUGAGUUCAGUUCUCCUCUCGUUUUGCCUUUAUACCACAAUGUCUCUGUGCAGACAAAACCUGAGAACUGUGUUCUGAUUUUUCAGACCAGUUUCUCAUCCCUGUGACAGCAGUGUGACGUAGAGAUCACAAAACCCAGCCAGUCCCCAGCACUCCUUGCUACAGCCUCACACAUCAGCCCUCGCACAUCCAUGCUGAGGUGGGUGCUGGCAAAAGCAAAAACCUUGGUUCUCUCCCUCUCUUCCAGUGGGAAACCAGAGAGAUCCCCAGCUCUUCUCAUGGGAAAAGUGUCAGCUUGCACUGAAAGGGUUUCUGCAGGUCCUAUGUUGUAAAUGAACAAAGAUUAAAAAAAAAAACACAACUUUUUUUUUUCCCUAAACUCAAGUGAAAGGAAGAGUGUGACAAGGAGUCAGGAGUCUGUCUGGCGUGGAAUAUUCCUGCAGCACUCGGGGCUGUGGUUUAUUUUACUGGUGGUGACUAGUUCAAGCCACAUUUAGUCAAUAAAUAUGAGAUAUGAGGUCACCCUGCCAUUUAGCUGUUACCCUGUCUACAUAUUUCACAGCUGGGCAGUAACCUUUUAACUAGCGUCUACCUCGGUGGGGAGUCUCCAUAAAAAAAGAGCCAGGAUCCCUUGGUCGUGGUGGGGGACCCAGGCGCAGGAGCUCCACAAGGAGUUCUGAGCAGAAGGGCCUGCACCAGGCUCUGCCUUUUGCUCUCAUGCCCGUUUGCAGCGCACAGCACCCAGCUGGGCUACGUGCAGGGAUCGGGUGAUGGAGCCACAUCCCAUGUGCUGAGCUCUACAGUAAGAUCCCCCUACUUCUAUGUGGAGAUAGGCCACAGGACAAGUUUCCUGUAAUUCCCAGCUUUGGGAGCACCUAUCCAAGGUAAAUGUUUCCAAGGAGCUCAAUACCUUCAAAGGGUUUGUUCUCCUCUGCCUGGGUCCACAGCUUCUCCUGUGUGCCUUUACCCUCCAGAAUGAGGGUAUCUCUGUGUUUCUGAGCUCAUAACUCAGGCUAAGUCUGCCAAAGAUUAAACACCCCUGAGCCCAUUGCUCACAUUUCCCACGAGCACGAGAGUAACAGUUCCACACACAGCUGGGAGAGGAUGGUGCAUCCCCAGCUCUGCCCCAGCCUGGUGGGAAACCUCCAGGCUUCAAGUAAGGGAUUCUGAUGCUCCUGUCCCCCUCUGGCACUGCCCAUGAGAAAGCAGUGAGCAUGAGCACAGCCUGAGCCAAAGCUCCUGGCCAACCUCCAGAGAAGUGUGCGCAUCCCCACCAAAACGAAACACGAGUGGACGUGGCAAGAAACGUGCAGGGAAGAGAAAGCAAACAAAAGCAAAAGAGAGAGGCCGCGCAGAGGGAGGAGAGCUGUGAGGCAGAGCACAGAGCUGCGCUAUUUGCUCCGCAUGCUGUGCUGAGGCACACGGAGCCCUGGGGCCUGGGCUGGCACUGCGUGUAGUGCCCAAGAGGGAGAGGCAGGCAAGCAGCGAGCUCCUGCCCCUGGCACACUGGGAAUCCCAGCCCAGCUCUGCCUCCCGACGUCACGCUAAGGCUCAGCACCAACACGGCUCCUCCCAGCUCUGCUGGAGCCUCCGAAAUCGGAACCUCUGCUGUCAGCUGCCUUUUAUAGGGCUAUAAAACCGACAGCUCGUGGGCAGACGUUGGCCAGCAUCAGCCUCUGCCACCUUCAGCAUUGCUCCUGCACAUGGUCCCCAGAGCCAC